CGCUGGCGGUCUCGGGGCUCGGUCCUCCGAGACCGUGUUUGGCAGUUUCGCGUGGAGGGCGGUUUGUGUUCCGCGGCUGUGGCCGGAAGGCUCCAGAACGUCCCCAGGGCCUCUUGAGUCAUAACUUUGUCAUGUAAAGUGGGACUCUAUCCAGACUGGAGGCGCUGGGAGCGGCCCGCGUUGAAGCGGCCUUAGAGACCAUCAGCAGUUUCCGUUAGGGCCCGCGGCGCCUGCUGUGCGCGCCCGGCCCAGACGUCCAGAAGAGGGGUCCGGGCCUUGUGCGGGCCCCCUGGCUGCCAGCCCGAACUGGGAAGGCCUCUCGCGUGCCGUUCCAAGUUAGCAGCAUCUAUUCGAUGCCCAGCCUCAAAAAUCAAAUUUAUGUUCUUAGGCAGUCAGUAAUUGCUUGCCCGUGCGCUGUACAGAUGAACUCUCCAUUGUCUGAGGUAGCUUGGUGUAAGGGAAAAAAAUCUGGACAAAGGGAAUUGGAAGAGUGAAGCCAAAGGUAAACUGCAAUAGAAGCUUCUGUCUACAUUCUUAUCCGGAUGUGUUGAUUUUCUUCAAGUUUGGAAUGAGAGCAUUAGAUGCAGUGCCUGGCAACCACCAUGUUACCUUUCACCUUUAUGGAUUUGACAACUGCAAAUCCCUCCUAGCAUGGGCCACGCAGCGCUGCUCUCUCUGCUCCUCUCUCUCUAUUCUGCUGAGGUGGUAACAGCAGUCCAGCCCACCUCCUCCUGAACUGAGAAGCCAUUUGGAUCUUGCUGCUGGAUGAAUUCUGUUGAAAUCGUUACCCUCUAGGCACCUCGGAAUUCGACUGCACUUGAAGGAGGAAGAAUCUCUUGGUAUCAACCAAAAGCCAUUCUGGAGAGUGGUUAAACCUUGGUAUAAGAAGGCAUUGUGAAACAGAGGGGGCUACAUCGCAAGGGGUCCAGGAGAAGCUUGCUGUGGAUUGUUUUCCUGAUGUGAACUAGGUUGUUCUCCUCGGAGAAGGAGCUCAGAACCUGUGUCGCUGGGUAUGGCUGCUGCUUUCAUCAGGGGAGCUCUGAUCUUCGCCGCAUCACUUCCUGACUCCAAUGUGGAUC